rnacentral:lncRNA from 1 species
UACCACAAGGCUAGGUAUGGCGCGCUUUAUCUGUGUUGUUGGUCCAGACAUAAUUUCUCAUCUAUCCACAGGACACACCCAUCAUGAGCCAAAGAGAAGGAAAUAUAUUUAGUUCUUUCAAUGCAGUGAAAGAAUUUCACCAAGAUGCUACCAGAGGUUAAAAAUAAAUGAAAAUGGAUUGUUAUUUCUCAAAGCAUGCAACAAAGAUGGUUUAAAACAUCACAAGGUACAAGUGGAUAUAUUUCAACUGAAACAUGUUCUGUUCUGAGAGUUCUGACAGCACAAAUCAGUUUGCACUGGUUUAUUUCCUGAGGAGAUGUUCCUGCCACUCAGUGACUGUCCAGGAGAAGCAAAAUACACUGAAGUGGAAACACUCUGGAAAUGAAGCAGAGUGACAGGGAAAUAGAGAACUGCAGGUAAGGCAAGUAAUUUUCUAUGUAGUUUUCCACCAAGCCCAUUCAUUAAGAUAAAUUCUAGAGGUGGUUAUGACAUGCUAUAAUAUCU